CCCUUCUGCUUCCCAUUUUGCUUUUGCUCUUGCAAUUAUUCCAUUUAUUUUUUUUUCUCUUAAUGUUUUUAGGCUCUCCUCUAUGUUUUGAAUUUCAGUUUUUAGUUCCUGAUCUGGGUGUAGGGCAUAUCUAUUUUGUGAAAUGUUUAAUUGUUGUUCAAGUUCAGAUUCUUCCCUUUGACUUUUUUUUUUUAGAUAUGAAGUAUAAGAGAUAGUUUUCCCUCUUAUUGUACAUUUUAAUAACUCCCAAAAUAUAUGGGGGUUUACAGAUAAUUCUGUUUCUUCCCCAGUAUUUGUAUUUGAUAGGUUAUAUUGAUUAACAGUGUCUGAUAUACACUUUUU
rnacentral:lncRNA from 1 species